GAAAUGCGAUAAGUAAUGUGAAUUGCAGAAUUCAGUGAAUCAUCGAAUCUUUGAACGCACCUUGCGCUCCUUGGUAUUCCUUGGAGCAUGCCUGUUUGAGUAUCAUGAAAUCUUCAAAGUAAAUCUUUUGUUAACUCAAUUGGUUUCUACUUUGGUAUUGGAGGUCUUUGCAGCUUCACACCUGCUCCUCUUUGUUCAUUAGCUGGAUCUCAGUGUUAUGCUUGGUUCCACUCGGCGUGAUAAGUUAUCUAUCGCUGAGGACACUGUAAAAGGUGGCCAAGGUAAAUGCAGAUGAACCGCUUCUAAUAGUCCAUUGACUUGGACAAUACUUUUAUGAUCUGAUCUCAAAUCAGGUAGGAUUACCCGCUGAACUUAAGC
rnacentral:misc_RNA from 1 species